UACAGAGGCCCCGAGCGUUACUGAGAAUCACUGGGUUUAAAGGGUGCGUAGGUGGCGCGUUAAGUCCGUUGUGAAAUCCCUGGGCUCAACCCAGGAAUUGCUUCGGAUACUGGCGUGCUUGAGGCCGGUAGGGGUCACUGGAACUGACGGUGGAGCGGUGAAAUGCGUAGAGAUGUGGAGGAACACCGAUGGCGAAGGCAGCCUUCUGGGCCAACACUGACGCUCAUGCACGAAAGCGUGGGGAGCAAACAGG
rnacentral:rRNA from 1 species